ACGCUGGCGGCGUGCUUAACACAUGCAAGUCGAACGAUGAAGCCUAGCUUGCUAGGUGGAUUAGUGGCGAACGGGUGAGUAAUACGUGAGUAACCUACCUUUAACUCUGGGAUAAGCCUGGGAAACUGGGUCUAAUACCGGAUACGACCAAUCUCCGCAUGGGGUGUUGGUGGAAAGCGUUAUGUAGUGGUUAUAGAUGGGCUCACGGCCUAUCAGCUUGUUGGUGAGGUAACGGCUCACCAAGGCGACGACGGGUAGCCGGCCUGAGAGGGUGACCGGCCACACUGGGACUGAGACACGGCCCAGACUCCUACGGGAGGCAGCAGUGGGGAAUAUUGCACAAUGGGCGCAAGCCUGAUGCAGCGACGCCGCGUGAGGGAUGACGGCCUUCGGGUUGUAAACCUCUGUUAGCAGGGAAGAAGAGAAAUUGACGGUACCUGCAGAGAAAGCGCCGGCUAACUACGUGCCAGCAGCCGCGGUAAUACGUAGGGCGCGAGCGUUGUCCGGAAUUAUUGGGCGUAAAGAGCUUGUAGGCGGUUUGUCGCGUCUGCUGUGAAAGGCCGGGGCUUAACCCCGUGUAUUGCAGUGGGUACGGGCAGACUAGAGUGCAGUAGGGGAGACUGGAAUUCCUGGUGUAGCGGUGGAAUGCGCAGAUAUCAGGAGGAACACCGAUGGCGAAGGCAGGUCUCUGGGCUGUAACUGACGCUGAGAAGCGAAAGCAUGGGGAGCGAACAGGAUUAGAUACCCUGGUAGUCCAUGCCGUAAACGUUGGGCACUAGGUGUGGGGGACAUUCCACGUUUUCCGCGCCGUAGCUAACGCAUUAAGUGCCCCGCCUGGGGAGUACGGCCGCAAGGCUAAAACUCAAAGAAAUUGACGGGGGCCCGCACAAGCGGCGGAGCAUGCGGAUUAAUUCGAUGCAACGCGAA
rnacentral:rRNA from 1 species